UGUAUAAAAAGGCUCCGAAGUCCCCGCACCUGUGUAACAAUAGGUGGUAUGAUAGUCAUUAAUCACAUAUUCUCAUGAAGUUCACUUCAAAUAACGGUGCUGCAUUAAAACUGCGACCUCAUCUAUUGAAUACUUUGGGAGUAACUAAGUUAAAUGCGGAAACACGUGUCUAUUGGUUGUAUAAGUCUUAGCUAAUUAUUAGUUUAACGCUAACUGCUUAUGUUUGGGGUUUUUUCUUUUUCUUUUUCUUUUUCACAAGCCCUGAGUUACCCAAAAGUCCCCUGAAACCCUUGACUUUCUUUUUGUUGCACAUAGGCUCUGGGAAAAGAGGCAAACUAAAUUUUAGCUCGCUAAUGAGCUGCGUUAAAUGUAGCUAUGAAACUUUUAGCUAGCGUCAAUUAACCUACAGCGUCAGUUGCUUUAAGAUAACGUUACAGAGACUUCUGAAGACCUGCGGGAUAAAAUCUUCAGACGGAGGAGACUUAGAGUGAAUGCAUGUGGUGGUCAACUGGUUUCUUUGUCCAGUCUCAGCUCCUCUGCCUCUUCAGCCUUUUCUCCGUACAUCUGCAGGAUAGUGUUGUGCCUCUGCUCAAGAUCCUGAAAUCCAAAG